GAUGAACGCUGGCGGCGUGCCUAAUACAUGCAAGUCGAGCGAAUGGAUUAAGAGCUUGCUCUUAUGAAGUUAGCGGCGGACGGGUGAGUAACACGUGGGUAACCUGCCCAUAAGACUGGGAUAACUCCGGGAAACCGGGGCUAAUACCGGAUAACAUUUUGAACCGCAUGGUUCGAAAUUGAAAGGCGGCUUCGGCUGUCACUUAUGGAUGGACCCGCGUCGCAUUAGCUAGUUGGUGAGGUAACGGCUCACCAAGGCAACGAUGCGUAGCCGACCUGAGAGGGGGAGCGGCCACACUGGGACUGGAAAACGGCCCAGACUCCUACGGGAGGCAGCAGUAGGGAAUCUUCCGCAAUGGACGAAAGUCUGACGGAGCAACGCCGCGUGAGUGAUGAAGGCUUUCGGGUCGUAAAACUCUGUUGUUAGGGAAGAACAAGUGCUAGUUGAAUAAGCUGGCACCUUGACGGUACCUAACCAGAAAGCCACGGCUAACUACGUGCCAGCCGCCGCCGUAA
rnacentral:rRNA from 1 species